rnacentral:rRNA from 1 species
UACGGAGGGAGCUAGCGUUGUUCGGAAUUACUGGGCGUAAAGCGUACGUAGGCGGUUACUCAAGUCAGAGGUGAAAGCCCGGGGGCUCAACCCCGGAACUGCCUUUGAAACUAGGUAGCUAGAAUCUUGGAGAGGCGAGUGGAAUUCCGAGUGUAGAGGUGAAAUUCGUAGAUAUUCGGAAGAACACCAGUGGCGAAGGCGACUCGCUGGACAAGUAUUGACGCUGAGGUACGAAAGCGUGGGGGAGCAAACAGG